rnacentral:rRNA from 1 species
UACAGAGGGUGCGAGCGUUAAUCGGAAUUACUGGGCGUAAAGCGUGCGUAGCCGGUUUUGUAAGUCGGAUGUGAAAUCCCCGGGCUCAACCUGGGAAUUGCAUUCGAGACUGCAAGGCUUGGGUGCGGAAGAGGGAAGCGGAAUUUCCGGUGUAGCGGUGAAAUGCGUAGAUAUCGGAAGGAACAUCAGUGGCGAAAGCGGCUCACUGGACCAUUACUGACGCUGAGGCACGAAAGCUAGGGGAGCAAACAGG